GACGAACGCUGGCGGCGUGCUUAACACAUGCAAGUCAAGGGGGCUCGCAAGAGCAACCGGCGAACGGGUGCGUAACACGUGAGCAACCUGCCUUAGUGUGGGGGAUAGCCGGCCCAACGGCCGGGUAAUACCGCAUACGCUCACCGGGUGGCAUCACCUGGUGAAGAAACUUUCGAGGCACUAAGAGGGGCUCGCGGCCUAUCAGCUUGUUGGUGGGGUAAUGGCCUACCAAGGCACGACGGGUAGCUGGUCUGAGAGGAUGGCCAGCCACAUUGGGACUGAGAUACGGCCCAGACUCCUACGGGAGGCAGCAGUGGGGAAUAUUGCGCAAUGGGCGAAAGCCUGACGCAGCGACGCCGCGUGGGGAUGAAGCAUUUCGGUGUGUAAACCCCUGUUGCUCGGGACGGAAAACUGGUUUUGACCAGUCUGACGGUACCGAGUGAGGAAGCACCGGCUAACUCCGUGCCAGCAGCCGCCGCAGUAAC
rnacentral:rRNA from 1 species